rnacentral:tRNA from 1 species
GAAAGUUUAGUUUAUUAAAACAAAUGCUUUGAAAGCAUUAGUAGGAGAAAUUAACUUCUUCAAUUUUUA